AGAGUUUGAUUCUGGCUCAGGACGAACGCUGGCGGCGUGCUUCAUACAUGCAAGUCGAACGAUAAGGCACCUUCGGGUGUACAUAAGUGGCGGACGGGUGAGUAAUAUGUAGAGAAUCUGCCCUAGAGAGCGGGACAACAGUUGGAAACGACUGCUAAUACCGCAUAUGAGCGUAGCUGAAAUGCUAUUCUUGAAAACUCCGGUGCUCUGGGAUGAGUCUGCAUCUGAUUAGCUAGUUGGGGGUGUAAUGGACCACCAAGGCGACGAUCAGUAGCUGGUUUGAGAGGAUGAUCAGCCACAAUGGGACUGAGACACGGCCCAUACUCCUACGGGAGGCAGCAGUAGGGAAUUUUGCGCAAUGGGGGAAACCCUGACGCAGCCAACGCCGCGUGACCGAUGAAGCCCUUCGGGGUGUAAAGGUCUGUCAGUGGGGACGAAUAUUGACGGUACCCACAGAGGAAGCAUCGGCUAACUCCGUGCCAGCAGCAGC
rnacentral:rRNA from 1 species